rnacentral:rRNA from 1 species
AUACGGAGGAUGCGAGCGUUAUCCGGAUUUAUUGGGUUUAAAGGGAGCGUGGGUGGGAUAUUAAGUCAGCUGUGAAAGUUUGGGGCUCAACCUUAAAAUUGCAGUUGAUACUGGUUUCCUUGAGUACGGUACAGGUGGGCGGAAUUCGUGGUGUAGCGGUGAAAUGCUUAGAUAUCACGAAGAACUCCGAUCGCGAAGGCAGCUCACCGGGCCGGAACUGACACUGAUGCUCGAAAGUGCGGGUAUCAAACAGGAUUAGAUACCCUGGUAGUCCGCACAGUAAACGAUGAAUACUCGCUGUUUGCGAUAUACAGUAAGCGGCCAAGCGAAAGCAUUAAGUAUUCCACCUGGGGAGUACGCCGGCAACGGUGAAACUCAAAGGAAUUGACGGGG